ACUGCAAGGAGCAAUCCCAAUCAUGACAUUCUUACACUAGCAUAAAUAAAUAUUUUUUUUAAAAAAAUGCAUGUGGAUACACAAAUACUGACACUACGUGCAAAGAGAUAUUCUUAGCUAAAAAUUGCUGCAACAAACAUAAUAUCUUAUAUCAGAAUUAUACAGAUUAGCAUCAUGAUUCAACGUACAUAAUCCAUAAAAGCUUUUCAAGCUAAUUCAAUUAAGACCUGACCACAAACAGGAUACAAUUAGAUCGCCUAGUCUUUUUAAGGGUUUUGUCCCCUCCCACCUCAAAUUAAAGAAAACUAAAACUAAACAUUUAAGAAUAUGGCACCGAUUAAAAAAAAAAGGAGAAUAAACAGAGCAUAAAGAGCAAAUAUUAAUUGAGCGAGGGAGAGAGAUAGACCAAAAUAACCUAUCUAAAAAAAUUCAAUCGCACAACCAGAGAGUUAAUUUCAAAUAGAAUCAUAAAAAUUUUAUCAUCUAGGCUUAAAAUUUGAUGAACGGAAUCAGAAACCCUAACACAAAAAUCUGUAGGGGUCCAUGAUGAUAUAACACAACUCCCUAAUGGCGAUACAGGACAGAACGACUAAUAAAA
rnacentral:misc_RNA from 1 species